ACUGACAGCCAUGGUUACCGCGGCUGCUGGCACGGAGUUAGCCGGUGCUUCUUCUGUGAGUGAUGUCCUUCCUGCCGGCUAUUAACCCGCAGGCCUUCUUCCUCACUGAAAGUGCUUUACAACCCGAAGGCCUUCUUCACACACGCGGCAUGGCUGGAUCAGGGUUGCCCCCAUUGUCCAAUAUUCCCCACUGCUGCCUCCCGUAGGAGUCUGGGCCGUGUCUCAGUCCCAGUGUGGCUGAUCAUCCUCUCAGACCAGCUACGGAUCGUCGCCUUGGUGAGCCGUUACCUCACCAACCAGCUAAUCCGACAUAGGCUCAUCCGAUAGCGCGAGGCCCGAAGGUCCCCCGCUUUCCCCCGUAGGGCGUAUGCGGUAUUAGCCUGGGUUUCCCCAGGUUAUCCCCCACUACCGGGCAGAUUCCUAUGCAUUACUCACCCGUCCGCCGCUCGCCACCAGGGAGCAAGCUCCCCGUGCUGCCGCUCGACUUGCAUGUGUU
rnacentral:rRNA from 1 species